CACGGAGCUCCGUGCCCCUGGUGGUGGCUGCCCAGUAGGCGAAGAGGGUGCCCAGGUGAUCCCACCCCCAGGGGCUACUUCCAUGGAGGCCUGAGCAGAAAAGAACCGUCCACCUCAUGGGCCCCUGGCGCCUUUCCUGCCUGGGGCCCUGAGCACCGCCUGGGAGGAGAGAGGAAGCUGUUUCAGAAGCCCCCUGAGCCACACGUAGGGCCCAGCUGCACACGCGUGUCCUCAGGAGGCUGCCACAUGACCUGUUACAUGCCACACGCGCUCCCGC